UACGUAGGGCGCAAGCGUUGUCCGGAAUUAUUGGGCGUAAAGAGCUCGUAGGCGGUUUGUCGCGUCUGCUGUGAAAACCUAAGGCUCAACCUUGGGCUUGCAGUGGGUACGGGCAGACUAGAGUGCGGUAGGGGUGACUGGAAUUCCUGGUGUAGCGGUGGAAUGCGCAGAUAUCAGGAGGAACACCGAUGGCGAAGGCGGCCCGCUGGGCUGUGGCUGACGCUGAGGCGCGACAGCGUGGGGAGCAAACAGG
rnacentral:rRNA from 1 species